rnacentral:misc_RNA from 1 species
GCUUCCAUAACCACCAUAUGUUCCAUAUGCAGCCUGUUGACCAUAGCCUGGGGUCCAUUGCUGUAGCUGUCCUUGUGUAACAGGCGGCCAAGCUUGAGGUUGCAAACCAUAACCUGUCGCCCACUGGUUUUGUGCACUUGGAUAUGCACCCAUGAGUGACUGUGCAGGUGAAGGAGCAUCAGCAUAAGGUUUUGCUAAUUUUGUCUUAUCUGAAGCUAGAUAAUCCUCUGAGUGACGCUUUUUUAACUCUGACUUGCUCCUAUGGGCUAAAAAGAGCUUGGCAUGCCGAUCACCAGCCUUCUUAAUAGACUGAGCAUCUCCGUACAUCCCUAAAAACUCCAAGAAAAUGCAAGAUAGCUCCUCCCUUUCGACAGCACUUGCUACAUUGAGGCCUUCUGAGUUGGGCACUAUAAACUUCUCAACUAAAGAAUCUAAAUAAUCAAUUCGCUUUGGUAGUGACUGAAUUGAUUCAAGAUAUAUAAAGGCCUCAAGAAGUGGUUUUGAUAAUGGAGUGUUCUCAAGCGCUUCAACUAGAACCUCCCUAGCCUUUUCUACAUUUCCAGCAACCAAAUAUAGAAACCGAGAGAAUUGUGCAUACAACAUUGGCAACACCUGUGAAUGCUCUUUUCCUUUUUC